CUCCAAGAGAGAUUUGAAUGUGAAAUUCAGACCUUUACAUGUGACAUAUGAGCAAAAUAGACACUCGGGCAUCCAUACAUGUCUGAUACGUGGCCUUAAUGGUCUGAGUGAUAGAUCAGAUAUCUGAUGUUAAUGUUCUCAGGACUGAUUGAGGUUUUCCUGCAGAACCUGUAGCUUAUCAUCACUGAGAGCUUCUCACCUGUUAUAAUCAGUAAUCAUCAAUAACACACUUUGGACCACUAGGGGUCACUUUGUGUGUGUGUAUCACCAACAGGAAUGGAGUUUCAAAGCGUAACCCCAGUGUUUAAACUCAAUAACCCAGUAACAGUAUAUUCUGUAUACAGUAUGGAGUGUAUGAUGAUGAAUGUGACAUGGCCAACUAUUACUCUGCUCAUGUGGGACUGUGUGUGUGUUGCCAGGUAAAAAAUACAGUGAAUAUCCACCUGUGUUUAUUCCGUCUGCCACAGUACACCACUGACAUCCUGAUUACCUUCAAUGACCCCGUUAGCAUCAGUCCUCUCAGCAUUAGCAGUGGUGCGGUUUCUGAUGGUGUUUGGACAGUGCAGGACUUUCACACACUUGUCCAGUCUUUCCGGCUGCUCAACCCUGAAGUGUUUGGAUAACACACACACACACACCUCUGAAAUAAAUGUGUUGUCUCCUUCA